UCAGAAACCCGUUUUUGGCAACCAAUCUUUAACCAACACCUUCCUAAUGAGAUGUCUACGAUGCAUGAUGAAAAAUAAAAUGAAAAACAAAUAACCCUGGUCAGAGAUCACAACAGAUAUAAAAAGAAGAAAGAAGAAAAAUAAAGACUAUGGAAAAUUUAACGAAUUAAGCUAUUCAAUCAUGCAAUUUGGUGGAAAAGACCCACAUUUUUUCUUUUUUCUUGCCCCAAUAUGCUUUACAAGAAACCUACCC
rnacentral:lncRNA from 1 species